UACGUAGGGUGCGAGCGUUAAUCGGAAUUACUGGGCGUAAAGCGUGCGCAGGCGGUCUGUUAAGACAGAUGUGAAAUCCCCGGGCUUAACCUGGGAACUGCAUUUGUGACUGGCAGGCUAGAGUAUGGCAGAGGGGGGUAGAAUUCCACGUGUAGCAGUGAAAUGCGUAGAGAUGUGGAGGAAUACCGAUGGCGAAGGCGGCCCCCUGGUUGGAUACUGACGCUGAGACGCGAAAGCGUGGGGAGCAAACAGG
rnacentral:rRNA from 1 species